GAUGAACGCUAGCGGCAGGCCUAACACAUGCAAGUCGAGGGAGAAGCCCUUUGGGGGCAGAAACCGGCGCACGGGUGCGUAACGCGUAUGCAACCUACCUUUCACAGGGGGAUAGCCCGAAGAAAUUUGGAUUAAUACCCCAUAAUAUUAUUGGAUGGCAUCAUUUGAUAAUUAAAACUGCGGUGGUGAAAGAUGGGCAUGCGUCCUAUUAGCUAGUUGGAGUGGUAACGGCACCCCAAGGCUACGAUAGGUAGGGGUCCUGAGAGGGAGAUCCCCCACACUGGUACUGAGACAGGGACCAGACUCCUACGGGAGGCAGCAGUGAGGAAUAUUGGUCAAUGGUCGGAAGACUGAACCAGCCAUGCCGCGUGCAGGAAGAAUGCCUUAUGGGUUGUAAACUGCUUUUAUAUGGGAAGAAUAAGGCGUACGAGUACGUUGAUGACGGUA
rnacentral:rRNA from 1 species